rnacentral:tRNA from 9 species
GGGCGCGUAGCUCAGCGGGAGAGCACUGCCUUGACAUGGCAGGGGUCACAGGUUCAAUCCCUGUCGCGCCCACCA